GAAGUGUUCGGAUUGCGGCGACGUGGGCGGUUCGCUGCCCGCGACGUUGUGAGAAGUCCACUGAACCUUUAUCAUUUAGAGGAAGGAGAAGUCGUAACAAGGUUUUCCGUAGGUGAACCUGCGGAAGGAUCAUUG
rnacentral:rRNA from 1 species